UAGCACAGUGGCUAGUGCCCUUGGAUCUCAAUCAAGAGGUUGCGGGUUCAAGUCCCAC
rnacentral:tRNA from 1 species